rnacentral:tRNA from 1 species
GACCGCGUAGCCCAGUUGGCAGAGCGUUGGGCUAGUAUUCCAAAGGUCGUAGGUUCGAUUCCCACCGUGGCCA